AUAGUGAACCAGUACCGUGAGGGAAAGGCGCAAAGAACCCCUGGGCGGGGAGUGAAAUAGAACCUGAAACCGCAUGCAUACAAGCAGUGGGGGCCGACAUGUUCGGUGACUGCGUACCUUUUGUAUAAUGGGUCAGCGACUUAUAUUCUGUAGCAAGGUUAACCGAAUAGGGGAGCCGAAGGGAAACCGAGUCUUAACUGGGCGUUAAGUUGCAGGGUAUAGACCCGAAACCCGGUGAUCUAGCCAUGGGCAGGUUGAAGGUUGGGUAACACUAACUGGAGGACCGAACCGACUAAUGUUGAAAAAUUAGCGGAUGACUUGUGGCUGGGGGUGAAAGGCCAAUCAAACCCGGAGAUAGCUGGUUCUCCCCGAAAGCUAUUUAGGUAGCGCCUCGUGAAUUCAUCUCCGGGGGUAGAGCACUGUUUCGGCAAGGGGGUCAUCCCGACUUACCAACCCGAUGCAAACUGCGAAUACCGGAGAAUGUUAUCACGGGAGACACACGGCGGGUGCUAACGUCCGUCGUGAAGAGGGAAACAACCCAGACCGCCAGCUAAGGUCCCAAAGUCAUGGUUAAGUGGGAAACGAUGUGGGAAGGCCCAGACAGCCAGGAUGUUGGCUUAGAAGCAGCCAUCAUUUAAAGAAAGCGUAAUAGCUCACUGGUCGAGUCGGCCUGCGCGGAAGAUGUAACGGGGCUAAACCAUGCACCGAAGCUGCGGCAGCGACACUAUGUGUUGUUGGGUAGGGGAGCGUUCUGUAAGCCGUUGAAGGUGGCCUGUGAGGGUUGCUGGAGGUAUCAGAAGUGCGAAUGCUGACAUAAGUAACGAUAAUGCGGGUGAAAAGCCCGCACGCCGGAAGACCAAGGGUUCCUGUCCAACGUUAAUCGGGGCAGGGUGAGUCGACCCCUAAGGCGAGGCCGAAAGGCGUAGUCGAUGGGAAACAGGUUAAUAUUCCUGUACUUGGUGUUACUGCGAAGGGGGGACGGAGAAGGCUAUGUUGGCCGGGCGACGGUUGUCCCGGUUUAAGCGUGUAGGCUGGUUUUCCAGGCAAAUCCGGAAAAUCAAGGCUGAGGCGUGAUGACGAGGCACUACGGUGCUGAAGCAACAAAUGCCCUGCUUCCAGGAAAAGCCUCUAAGCAUCAGGUAACAUCAAAUCGUACCCCAAACCGACACAGGUGGUCAGGUAGAGAAUACCAAGGCGCUUGAGAGAACUCGGGUGAAGGAACUAGGCAAAAUGGUGCCGUAACUUCGGGAGAAGGCACGCUGAUAUGUAGGUGAAGUCCCUCGCGGAUGGAGCUGAAAUCAGUCGAAGAUACCAGCUGGCUGCAACUGUUUAUUAAAAACACAGCACUGUGCAAACACGAAAGUGGACGUAUACGGUGUGACGCCUGCCCGGUGCCGGAAGGUUAAUUGAUGGGGUCAGCGCAAGCGAAGCUCUUGAUCGAAGCCCCGGUAAACGGCGGCCGUAACUAUAACGGUCCUAAGGUAGCGAAAUUCCUUGUCGGGUAAGUUCCGACCUGCACGAAUGGCGUAAUGAUGGCCAGGCUGUCUCCACCCGAGACUCAGUGAAAUUGAACUCGCUGUGAAGAUGCAGUGUACCCGCGGCAAGACGGAAAGACCCCGUGAACCUUUACUAUAGCUUGACACUGAACAUUGAGCCUUGAUGUGUAGGAUAGGUGGGAGGCUUUGAAGUGUGGACGCCAGUCUGCAUGGAGCCGACCUUGAAAUACCACCCUUUAAUGUUUGAUGUUCUAACGUUGACCCGUAAUCCGGGUUGCGGACAGUGUCUGGUGGGUAGUUUGACUGGGGCGGUCUCCUCCUAAAGAGUAACGGAGGAGCACGAAGGUUGGCUAAUCCUGGUCGGACAUCAGGAGGUUAGUGCAAUGGCAUAAGCCAGCUUGACUGCGAGCGUGACGGCGCGAGCAGGUGCGAAAGCAGGUCAUAGUGAUCCGGUGGUUCUGAAUGGAAGGGCCAUCGCUCAACGGAUAAAAGGUACUCCGGGGAUAACAGGCUGAUACCGCCCAAGAGUUCAUAUCGACGGCGGUGUUUGGCACCUCGAUGUCGGCUCAUCACAUCCUGGGGCUGAAGUAGGUCCCAAGGGUAUGGCUGUUCGCCAUUUAAAGUGGUACGCGAGCUGGGUUUAGAACGUCGUGAGACAGUUCGGUCCCUAUCUGCCGUGGGCGCUGGAGAACUGAGGGGGGCUGCUCCUAGUACGAGAGGACCGGAGUGGACGCAUCACUGGUGUUCGGGUUGUCAUGCCAAUGGCACUGCCCGGUAGCUAAAUGCGGAAGAGAUAAGUGCUGAAAGCAUCUAAGCACGAAACUUGCCCCGAGAUGAGUUCUCCCUGACUCCUUGAGAGUCCUGAAGGAACGUUGAAGACGACGACGUUGAUAGGCCGGGUGUGUAAGCGCAGCGAUGCGUUGAGCUAACCGGUACUAAUGAACCGUGAGGCUUAACCUU
rnacentral:rRNA from 1 species